GAUCCAUGUUGAGGUGAGACACGUCUGAUUGGACUAGAUCCAUGAUGAGGUGAGACACGUCUGAUUGGACUAGAUCCAUGAUGAGGUGAGACACGUCUGAUUGGACUAGAUCCAUGUUGAGGUGAGACACGUCUGAUUGGACUAGAUCCAUGUUGAGGUGAGACACGUCUGAUUGGACUAGAUCCAUGUUGAGGUGAGACAUGUCUGAUUGGACUAGAUCCAUGUUGAGGUGAGACACGUCUGAUUGGACUAGAUCCAUGUUGAGGUGAGACCUGUCUGAUUGGACUAGAUCCAUGUUGAGGUGAGGCCAUUCCAUAGGCCUAUAUUGCAGUAGUGGGUCUGUGGUUUUCUGUAAAACAAAAUGGUUCUUUGGUUCUGGUCAGUUAAGAUAAUCAGAAAUACUAUGUAACAUCCCCACUUUUAGAACCGACUAAAAAGACAUGCUCACAUGCAAACAAAAGACAAUAAUUAAAUUGACCAAACAAUUUUAAAAAAUGACAAAAUCAUAAAUGUUAUGAGAUAAAACAACUUGUUGAUCAAGUUUAGCAAUUUGAAUUAAAAUGACCAUAAAUCAACAUUGUAGAUGAUAAAAGAUUUGUGUAAAGUUUAAGAUUUAC
rnacentral:lncRNA from 1 species